rnacentral:rRNA from 1 species
CCUACGGGGGGCAGCAGAGGGGAAUAUUGCACAAUGGGCGCAAGCCUGAUGCAGCCAUGCCGCGUGUGUGAAGAAGGCCUUCGGGUUGUAAAGCACUUUCAGCGGGGAGGAAGGCGGUGAGGUUAAUAACCUCAUCGAUUGACGUUACCCGCAGAAGAAGCACCGGCUAACUCCGUGCCAGCAGCCGCGGUAAUACGGAGGGUGCAAGCGUUAAUCGGAAUUACUGGGCGUAAAGCGCACGCAGGCGGUCUGUCAAGUCGGAUGUGAAAUCCCCGGGCUCAACCUGGGAACUGCAUUCGAAACUGGCAGGCUAGAGUCUUGUAGAGGGGGGUAGAAUUCCAGGUGUAGCGGUGAAAUGCGUAGAGAUCUGGAGGAAUACCGGUGGCGAAGGCGGCCCCCUGGACAAAGACUGACGCUCAGGUGCGAAAGCGUGGGGAGCAAACAGGAUUAGAUACCCGAGUAGUC